rnacentral:misc_RNA from 1 species
CACUUUGGAACUUUGUUGAAGGCAAAGAUGAUUUGCUUAAUUACAAAGGUAUGAAUGACUUAAAAUUAAGACAUUUCAUUGGGGAAAGUUGGACAUUUUUCAAUUUCUAAAACUGGCAUUAUCAGGUAGGUGGUAAGGAAUGUUACUGAGCCAAUCUUUUAACUGUCAUUGCCAUGUACUUGCCCUGGUGCUCAGCCAGGGCCAACUCUGGCUCACUAGGUUCCCUGCUACCAUCACCCGAGAAAGUUCCUGCUCCAUAGGGAGAACCUCCACUUAUUGAAUCCAUUCUAAACAUUCCUGCACCAAAUGUGUAUCCUAUUGGAACAUACAGCAUCCCAUGGUGAGCUAAUUGAGUCACUGCUGUCCAGGAGGUGGUCUCCUGCCCUCCUCCUUGUGUACCAGUACUGACAAAGAACCCUGCAGGCAAUCCAGCAAGCUUCUGUUCUCUCCACAACUUCCCGGUCGAGUCAAAAAAUGCCUUCAUUUGAG